UACAGAGGUCCCAAGCGUUGUUCGGAUUCACUGGGCGUAAAGGGUGCGUAGGUGGCUUGGUAAGUUCGAUGUGAAAUCUCCGGGCUUAACCCGGAAAUGGCAUUGAAUACUAUUGAGCUGGAGGUUUGGAGGGGGGACUGGAAUUCUCGGUGUAGCGGUGAAAUGCGUAGAUAUCGAGAGGAACACCUGCGGCGAAGGCGGGUUGCUGGGCUGACACUGACGCUGAUGCGCGAAAGCCAGGGGAGCGAACGGG
rnacentral:rRNA from 1 species